CCUACGGGAGGCAGCAGUAGGGAAUCUUGGGCAAUGGGCGAAAGCCUGACCCAGCAACGCCGCGUGAAGGAAGAAGGCUUUCGGGUUGUAAACUUCUUUUCUCAGGGACGAAGAAAGUGACGGUACCUGAGUAAUAAGCCACGGCUAACUACGUGCCAGCCGCCGCGGUAAUACGUAGGUGGCAAGCGUUAUCCGGAUUUACUGGGUGUAAAGUGCGUGUAGGGGGGAAAGCAAGUCAGAUGUGAAAACCAUGGGCUCAACCUGUGGCCUGCAUUUGAAACUGUUUGUCUUGAGUACUGGAGAGGCAGACGGAAGUCCUAGUGUAGCGGUGAAAUGCGUAGAUAUUAGGAGGAACACCAGUGGCGAAGGCGGUCUGCUGGACAGCAACUGACGCUGAGGCGCGAAAGCGUGGGGAGCAAACAGGAUUAGAUACCCUUGUAGUC
rnacentral:rRNA from 1 species